UCUGAAAGCUGUCGCUGCAGAUUCGGAACAAACAACUUUUACAGAACCAGUAAACAUGAUGGUGAAUUGAGGCUGUGCAUUUCCCAGGAUCAGACUAUUUCCCGGAAAACAAAAGGAUGUUCAACUGGACCCGACUGAACAUCUCAGGAGAACACGCCAGUCCGGUUCCGUCGAUGGCGCAGGCGUACUGCUGCUCCAGGUAGCUUUUAUCAAACUUCUGUCCAACAGAUUGGUCUCCCAGACAGGCGUCCAGGUGGACGGUGGCUUUGAACCUGGACUGCAGUAGAACCAGAGACAGGGCCAAGGUGACCACAGAGAACGGGACGCUGUCUGAUUCUUUUCCUGGGAAGAUGAACGGAACCACGAUCCGGUUUCUCCCAACAGAACCGUGUUUUUUGCCUGUUUCAUUGAGUUCCAGCGGUCCGGUAGCUUCACGGGUCGAUGUUUUUCAUCAGGAACUGUGCAGCCGAGCUUCUUGGUGCAGUAGAAGACUCUGUGCUGAGGCUGCAGUCGUCCUGUGGCGAUGGCGUACCCCAAAUUGCAGGUGACGCAAUUCCAGGGAGCAUAAAGAACCACGUCCCUGAUGGAGGCCAGAGGCAGCAGACAGCUGGCUGGGAUCAUGAAGUCUCGGAUUGAUCCAUGAGCCAUGAAGACGACGUCCACUGCGUCGCCGUGGUCCUUCUUCUCCUCUGCAGCGAUGUGUGUCUUCAGGAAGUUAAACAUGUCCGCCAGCUUGCUGAAGGUGCUGGACUCUGAGUUUUCUCUCAGCCACGUCAGGACGAUUUGAUCGCUACAGUUUUCCACAGCGAGCGUCAUCAGUCUGCUGCGUUCAUCGGGAAUCGUGAUGAUGUCAUAGCGAUGAACUCCUCUGACGCGUUUCCUCCUGGAGAAACCAACAAACCGAGCAUCAGCUGCAGCUUUAACCUGUGCAUCGAUUUUAACGAGACGCCAACAUGGAGGACGGUCUCAGAUAAACCUAUUGGUGUCCAAACAUGUUGACCUGGGGCCAAAUGGCCCCCGAACCACAGUUUGGACCCCCAGACUCCAGAUUAAUCAGAAAACCAGUCCUACCUGGAAACUCUUUGUGAUUUUCCAACAGCAGCAGCUCUGCGGGUCUGGACAGAAGACGGCCAGGAAGUCCAGAUAAUCUGGUUGUUUCUGUGACCCAACCGCAAAAAAGCACAAAAAUACAAAUGGAUUGUUACUG